AUUGAACGCUGGCGGCAGGCCUAACACAUGCAAGUCGAGCGGGGUUUUCGGACCUAGCGGCGGACGGGUGGGUAAUGCGUAGGAAGCUGCCCGAUAGAGGGGGAUACCAGUUGGAAACGACUGUUAAUACCGCAUAAUGUCUACGGACCAAAGUGUGGGACCUUCGGGCCACAUGCUAUCGGAUGCGCCUACGUGGGAUUAGCUAGUUGGUGAGGUAAUGGCUCACCAAGGCGACGAUCUCUAGCUGGUUUGAGAGGAUGAUCAGCCACACUGGAGCUGAGACACGGUCCAGACUCCUACGGGAGGCAGCAGUGGGGAAUAUUGGACAAUGGGCGCAAGCCUGAUCCAGCCAUGCCGCGUGUGUGAAGAAGGCCUUCGGGUUGUAAAGCACUUUCAGCGAGGAGGAAGGGGUGUGUGUUAAUAGUACACACCUUUGACGUUACUCGCAGAAGAAGCACCGGCUAACUCUGUGCCAGCCGCCGCAGUAACAC
rnacentral:rRNA from 1 species